rnacentral:misc_RNA from 1 species
GUUUACAUGCAUGCCUUCAAGAUACCCAUAACAUAUAUUUUCUUCUCCAUGCUACACUUUUGGAGCUCAUAAUUAAAUCAACAAUUACAAAUCUUUUUUUAGCUUUGAUCUGUGUAGAAAUGAGAGUGACGGAUUUUCCCCAGGGAAUAAUAGGUACAGUGAAGUCAAGAAACGGUGAGAUCCAUAAAGUGAGAGGGCACAGAAACAUUAUUUUGAGAAUAAAAACAACUGUAUGAAAAUUACGAUUUGUGUUUUUCUUUAUUCCAUUUUUUCAAGAUAAGUGCAAAAAUAUAAGCGAAACACUUUCUACCAAACAGGUUUUAUGUUGUUUUUUUUCCCCCUUA